UCUUGAAAACGCGAGCACCACGCGCCUAUCUGUUAGGGUGCUCAAUCUAAAACGCACUGGACGGAAACACGAGCCUACUUCUAAGACUUCCAGUGUAGUGAUGGUGACAGGGCACUAACGGGACCGGCGCACAGUCAUGGUGAUGUUCAUAGACGUUUCUGGUGGAGUUAAUAUUUCAGUUGAGUUCUGUUCGUCUGCAUCGUAGACGGCUUUAUAGCUUCAUCUUCCUGAAAGUGAGAAAGCAGCCUGGGUAAAGCUGAGCUAAGAAGUGCGCUACAAAAGGCCAGACGAGUAGAAAUGCCACUGAGAUUUGGGAGAUGACUGAUGGACACAUGGGAAGUAGCUAGUAAAUAAGACAGGUUUAAUA